CCCUACGGGAGGCAGCAGUAGGGAAUCUUCCACAAUGGGCGAAAGCCUGAUGGAGCAACGCCGCGUGGGUGAAGAAGGUCUUCGGAUCGUAAAACCCUGUUGUUAGAGAAGAAAGUGCGUGAGAGUAACUGUUCACGUUUCGACGGUAUCUAACCAGAAAGCCACGGCUAACUACGUGCCAGCAGCCGCGGUAAUACGUAGGUGGCAAGCGUUAUCCGGAUUUAUUGGGCGUAAAGGGAACGCAGGCGGUCUUUUAAGUCUGAUGUGAAAGCCUUCGGCUUAACCGGACGAGUGCAUUGGUAACG
rnacentral:rRNA from 1 species